UACGUAGGGAGCAAGCGUUGUCCGGAUUUAUUGGGCGUAAAGAGCGUGUAGGCGGCCAUACAGGUCAGCUGUGAAAACUCGAGGCUCAACCUCGAGACGUCGGUUGAAACCGUAUGGCUAGAGUCCGGAAGAGGAGAGUGGAAUUCCCGGUGUAGCGGUGAAAUGCGCAGAUAUCGGGAAGAACACCUAUGGCGAAGGCAGCUCUCUGGGACGGUACUGACGCUGAGACGCGAAAGCGUGGGGAGCAAACAGG
rnacentral:rRNA from 1 species